UACGAAGGGGGCUAGCGUUGCUCGGAAUCACUGGGCGUAAAGGGUGCGUAGGCGGGUUUUUAAGUCAGGGGUGAAAUCCUGGAGCUCAACUCCAGAACUGCCUUUGAUACUGAAGAUCUUGAGUUCGGGAGAGGUGAGUGGAACUGCGAGUGUAGAGGUGAAAUCGUAGAUAUUCGCAAGAACACCAGUGGCGAAGGCGGCUCACUGGCCCGAUACUGACGCUGAGGCACGAAAGCGUGGGGAGCAAACAGG
rnacentral:rRNA from 1 species